rnacentral:misc_RNA from 1 species
CAAAGCAAAUACGGGAGGGAAUGUCACAAGUAAGCUCAAGCAGAGGAACUACUGCAUCAUUUGGUUUGAUCAUUGAUGGCAAAUCAUUGUCAUUUGCUCUUGACAAAAAAACUAGAAAAAUCGUUCUUGGAGCUUGCAAUAAAUUGUGCAUCUGUUAUUUGCUGCCGCUCCACUCCUAAACAAAAAGCUCUUGUUACCAGACUGGUGAAAGUUGAAACACACCGAACUACAUUAGCAAUUGGGGAUGGGGCAAAUGAUGUAAGCAUGCUACAAGAGGCUGAUGUUGG